rnacentral:lncRNA from 1 species
CUCUACUAAGACCAUGAUAUUUUCAAACAUCCCAUGGAUUGAGAGACCAACCGGGUGGAAGUCCAUUAAGAUCGAGAUAAGUCCAUUGAGAUACCAAUCCAUUGGAAAUUGCAUGAUGAUAUAUCCCCGAGUUUUUUUUUUUCUUCUUCUUCUUCUUCUUCUUCUUCUUCUUCUUCUUUGUAAUGUAAUAUAUAAUAUAAUAUAUUAUAUUAUAUACAAGAUUCACCGAUUCCGAUUUUUAGUUACCGAGGCAUAAUCAUAGGAUGGACCUAUCCGAGUUUUUUUUGAUGAACGGGACAUAUCAUUGGUCGUUGCGACAAGAGGCAUUUCGAGAUUUCCACGGGACAUUUCUUGGGUCAGGGUGAAAUGAGGCAUUUCGAGAUUUGAACGUAUGAAAUUCUUGGUCGGGCCUCCCACGGAUAGCACUAGAGUGCAAUCCACUGUCGGUCUCACACGAAUUGCACGCAUGAAAUGCUUAGUUUGGGCACACUUCGAUUGCACUAGAGUGCAUUCCUUGGUUAGGGAUGAAAAAACGAAAAUUCAUUUUUCUCGAAUACCCACUACCCCCUAAUACUCUGCACAACUUUUCUUGGAUGUUCGCAUAAAAUAGAGAAACCGUUUAUUUCCCAUCACUAAAAUAGGCCAAAAUCCGAAAAAAACCAAUCUCAUUGCAAUUCUUUGGUCGGUACACGAACUGCACGCAUGAAAUGCUUGGUCGGGCCUCCCACAAACCGCACAAGAGUGCAUUCCUUGGUCGGGACUCACACGUAUUGCACAAACGGAACGCUCUAGAGUGCAUUCCUUGGUCGGUCUCACACGAAUUGCAAGCGUGAAGUGCUUGGUCGGGCCUCCCACGGAUAGCACUAGAGUGCAUUCCUUGAUCGGGUCUCACACGAAUUGCUCGCGUGAAGUGCUUGGUCGGGCCUCCCACGGAUAGCACUAGAGUGCAUUCCAUAGCACUAGAGUGCAUUCCUUGAUCGGUAUCACACGAAUUGCACGCGUGAUGUGCUUGGUC